rnacentral:rRNA from 1 species
GCGUUGUCCGGAAUUAUUGGGCGUAAAGAGCUCGUAGGCGGUUUGUCGCGUCUGCUGUGAAAACCGGAGGCUCAACCUCCGGCCUGCAGUGGGUACGGGCAGACUAGAGUGCGGUAGGGGAGAUUGGAAUUCCUGGUGUAGCGGUGGAAUGCGCAGAUAUCAGGAGGAACACCGAUGGCGAAGGCAGAUCUCUGGCCGUAACUGACGCUGAGGAGCGAAAGCAUGGGGAGCGAACAGG